rnacentral:rRNA from 1 species
UACGUAGGGGGCAAGCGUUGUCCGGAAUUAUUGGGCGUAAAGAGCUCGUAGGCGGUUUGUCGCGUCUGCCGUGAAAGUCCGGGGCUCAACCUCGGGUCUGCAGUCGAUACGAGCAAACUAGAGUGUUGCAGGGGAGACUGGAAUUCCUGGUGUAGCGGUGAAAUGCGCAGAUAUCAGGAGGAACACCGGUGGCGAAGGCGGGUCUCUGGGCAACAACUGACGCUGAGGAGCGAAAGCGUGGGGAGCGAACAGG